rfam:Schistosoma haematobium scaffold1189_3, whole genome shotgun sequence.
GUCCUGAUGACGAGUCCCAAAUAGGACGAAACCUGCGUUCUGGAU